GUUGCUUCAGUAACACAUAUACUAAGAAUUGAAACAAUGUAGAGAAGAUUAAUAUGACCCCUGCAUAAGAAUGACAUAUAAAUUUGUGAGGCUUUCUUUUUUUUU